rnacentral:snRNA from 1 species
AAGCCAUGGAGAAUCAAGUCUCU